UUUGCUGACCUUGAGGCUGCCCUUUAUCUUCUGUGACCCCACAAGCUUAAGCAGGGUCAGGCCUGGUCAGUACUUGGAAUGGAGACUGCCAGAUAAUAGCAGGUGUCUCCAGAC
rnacentral:rRNA from 1 species